rnacentral:rRNA from 1 species
UCGAGCGGGGAAAGUAGCUUGCUACUUUACCUAGCGGCGGACGGGUGAGUAAUGCUUAGGAAUCUGCCUAUUAGUGGGGGACAACAUUUCGAAAGGAAUGCUAAUACCGCAUACGUCCUACGGGAGAAAGCAGGGGACCUUCGGGCCUUGCGCUAAUAGAUGAGCCUAAGUCGGAUUAGCUAGUUGGUGGGGUAAAGGCCUACCAAGGCGACGAUCUGUAGCGGGUCUGAGAGGAUGAUCCGCCACACUGGGACUGAGACACGGCCCAGACUCCUACGGGAGGCAGCAGUGGGGAAUAUUGGACAAUGGGGGCAACCCUGAUCCAGCCAUGCCGCGUGUGUGAAGAAGGCCUUUUGGUUGUAAAGCACUUUAAGCGAGGAGGAGGCUCCCAGUAUUAAUACUACUGGAGAGUGGACGUUACUCGCAGAAUAAGCACCGGCUAACUCUGUGCCAGCAGCCGCGGUAAUACAGAGGGUGCAAGCGUUAAUCGGAUUUACUGGGCGUAAAGCGUGCGUAGGUGGCCAAUUAAGUCAAAUGUGAAAUCCCCGAGCUUAACUUGGGAAUUGCAUUCGAUACUGGUUGGCUAGAGUAUGGGAGAGGAUGGUAGAAUUCCAGGUGUAGCGGUGAAAUGCGUAGAGAUCUGGAGGAAUACCGAUGGCGAAGGCAGCCAUCUGGCCUAAUACUGACACUGAGGUACGAAAGCAUGGGGAGCAAACAGGAUUAGAUACCCUGGUAGUCCAUGCCGU